rnacentral:lncRNA from 1 species
UGUAAGAGUUUAAUUGUAAGACAAAAGCACUGCUACAUUAAUACUUUAAACAUAAGUAAUCUUUCAGAAAAAAAGGUUCAGUGCAAAUUAAAACCCUAUGAAAGCCCACUGUAAAUUUCAUAUGAAGACUCUAGAAGUAAACUUCUAGAACUGGAAACACCUGGUUCCAACAGAAUUUGCUUGGGGAGAGUAUGUCUUGAAAAUGUUAAAUGGUACAGAGAACAUCAUGUUAAAGUCAACCAGAUACUAAAAAAAGACAUGCUGAUAGGUCUUAAUACAUAAAACUAAUUGAUUAGUAGUAGCAUGCUUUAUAUAUCAAUGAUUGUAAAAGCAAUUUACAACAAAUUUGAGCAUUUCUAAGUUUUAUUUACUGCCUUAGCCAAUCUCUUAACUAUACUGUAAUAAAAUGCCAUUCUUCCCAUUUUUAUAAUAAAAAGGGUUUCACUUCAUCAGUCUCAGACUGGUGUUUUAUAUAAAUGUUAAGCUCUGUAUAAUCCAAGGCCAUCCAUACAACAAAAAAGAAAUUAUGUAAUUCCUCUUCUCAAGUGUUUAUUCAAAGCAUAGGUUCCAUGCCAUGUUAAAUGCCACUUUUAGGUACUGGCGUUAACAGACCUCUUAAGUUUCUUCCAAUUCUUUUUUUUCCUGAGAAAUACAAAAGCCAGGAAAGUAACCUUCCUAUUCCUAGAGUGCAAACAGAGUAUAGCCUCUUAUAACAAAAUUAAAUGUAUACAAAUUAACCUUGAAGUACUCUCUCCCAAUACCAAAUGACUUAAAAGUUUCCCAAAAUAGAUUCCAAUAACCUCUACUAUCACUAUUUAAUAAUUUAGUGCCUAUCUCUACUUUCUUUGAAGACUUUUAAAGAAUUUCUCCCUUAACUAAAAUAAUGGAUUUGGAUUGCCAUUACAAGAACACCAUGCUCUUACUUAGGCUCUAAAUCCUAUAAAGUAUUUCAGAUUUUAAUAGAAUAAUUUUGUAAGGUCCUUUUUCCUUGCCCUUAGGAGAACACCUGCCUGCCCUCCACCCCCACCCCCGACUACAAUUCCCUGCCUUUACAGGGCUUACUGGGGGAAAUUUAUUAACAUUUAGGAAUUACCCUACUGCUUCAACUUCAUACAUUAUAUAGUCAGUCCUCUGGAUACUAUUGCCAUUUAUAAUGGAAGGCUGCUGGAAUUAUGCAACCUUCUUGAGAAUCGAAAAAGCGCUAAGGACAAUAGGGCAAUAUAUAACCAGCCCAAUUUGAGAAAAUGGCAAGUCAAUUUCUAUCAGAGUUGUUGAUUACCAAUUCAUAAUAAUGCAAUGGAUGGCUAAGAUCAGGGCAGAGGCAAGAUACAGACAAUAAGGGGAGUGUAUUGGCUGUAGAGAAUUUUAAAAUACCAACCAACUCACCAUGUUCCCAGCCUGCAGCCACCCCCACCACCUAUUUUCCCUGACUUGAUACAUUACUGUUGCUCACUGUCAUCUUGUACUCAUCAGAAUGUUAAAAAUCAUAUCUUUUUUUUUUUCCAGCUAGACUUAGGAUCCACAAUUAAAAUGCUGAGUGGUUUAGUAAAACAUAUGCCUUUGUUUUUACAGAAGAUGUAAAAACAAACCCUUAGGAAACAGCAUGUUUAACUCUAUCUUAUCUUAAAGAGUUAACACAUUAAAGUCCUUAACACAUUAGUGUGUAACUAAGAUCACUUGGAGGCCAGGGGUGGUGACUCACGCCUAUAAUCCCAGCACAUAAGGAGACCAAGGCGGGAGGAUCACCUGAGGUCAGGAGUUCAAGACCAGCCUGGCCAACAUGGUGAAACUCUUUGUCUCAACUAAAAAUACAAAAAUUAGCCAGGCGUGGUGGUGGGCACCUGUAAUCCCAACUACUCGAGAGGCUAAGGCAGGAGAAUCGCUUUAACCCGGGAGGCAGAGAUUGCAGUGAGCUGAGACUCUGCCACUGCACUCCAGUCUGGGCGACAGAGUGAGACUCCGUCUCAAAAAAAAAAAAAAAAAAAAAUCAUGUGGGAUAUAUGAAAUACAGAAUCCCAGGCAACACUCCCAAACAAUUCUAAGUGAUUCUGAUGUAGAUGCCUACAAGCCUCUUUGAAAUGCCAACCAGCUUAUAAUCAACCCUUAACCCAAAUUACCAGAUUAAAAGCAACUGUUAGCAACUAAUAGAACAAGUGGACUCCAUUUGCACAACUGAAUAUUUAUCUUGUUAGAAUCAUUUUACCCAUGGAAAUGUUCAGGCGACUCCUAAACUAUGCUUAAUAAGUUUGAAUAUGGCCAGUAUUAAAGAAAAGAUAUACCCUUCUCAACACUGUCAAAAGUAGGUAUCUUAGGCUGGGCACAGUGGCUCAUGCCUGUAAUUCCAGCACUUUGGGAGGCCGAGGCAGGCAGAUCACUUGAGCCCAGGAGUUGGAGACCAGCCGGAGCAAUAUAGUGAGACCCCAUCUCUACAAAAAAAUUAGGCCGGGUGCAAUGGCUCACACCUGUAAUCCCAGCACUUUGGGAGGCCGAGGUGGACAAAUCACCUGAGCUCAGGAUUUUGAGACCAGUGUAGCCAUGUGGUGAAACCCCAUCUCUACUAAAAAUACAAAAGUUAGCCAGGCGUAGUGGCAUGCACGUGUAAUCCCAGCUACUCGGGAGGCUGCGGCGGGACAAUCGCUAGAACCUGGGAGGCAAAUAUUGCAGUGAGCCAAAACUGCGCCACUGUACUCCAGCCUGAGAGACACAGCGAGAUUCUGUCUCAAAAAAUAAAAAUAAAUAAGCUGGGCCAGGUGUGAUGGCUCACGCCUGUAAUUCCAGAACUUUGGGAGACUGAGGCGGGCAGAUCACGAGGUCAGGAGUUUGAGACCAGCCUGGCCAACAUAGUGAAACCCCAUCUCUACUAAAAAUACAAAAAUUAGCCAGAUGUGGUAGCACACACCCGUAGUCUCAGAUAUUCGGGAGGCUGAGGCAGGAAAAUCGCUUGAACCCGGGAGAUGGAGAUUGUGGUGAGCCAAGAUCGCACCACUGCACUCCAGCCUGGACAACAGCGUGAGAUACAUAUACAUAUACAAAUACAAAUACAAAUACAAGCUAGAUGUGGUGGUGCCUGCCUGCAGUCCCAGCAACUCAGGAGCCUGAGGUGAAAGGCUCACUUGAGCCCAGGUCAAGGCUAAGGUGAGCUGUGAUCACAUCACUACAUUCCAGCUUGGGUGACAGAGCAAGACCCUUUCUCCAAAAAAAAAAAAAAAAAAAAAGGGAAGGUAACUUUAAAAAAAAUAUAUUUUAUGAAUAGUUUAGGGUCAUCCUUAAAUGUUAGUUCAUUGAUAAACUGCACUAUUAAGAAACUGCUUCCAAACAAAUUUAUUGAGAUGUGAUGCUAUAUUACGGAUCUAGGUUUUGACAUUUCAGGUUAAACUCACUCCAAACAAAAUAAUAAACUCAGACAUUUCAGGAUCAACACAAAUACCAUGGUAGAAAGAUUGUAUCCUUCCAGUUUCCAAAAUUCCUAAUAUGUCAAAGGCCCUAAACAUACCUUUAAAGUACUAGUCUUAACUACAAAAAGAAACUUUCCCAAGCACUAAAAUAGUAAAAGCAGAGACUAGUUUCUCAAGUAUAUGACAGACAAGCUUAAUAAUUGGAUCCUAAUGAGACUACUUUUCAAAACUGUCAGCAUGAACUGGCACCUGGACUGGUGUUCCACACCCAUACUGUAUUCUCAACUGUGCACAACCAAGUGCAAUGAAGCAAAUACCAUCCCAGGAUAUAAAGAAUAAUAUGCUUACAUGACUUGUAACCCUAUACACACUGAAGGUUAGGAAAGAAACAGAAAAAAAAAGGAAACCCAGGACCCAAGGAAGAGAAAUUAACUCACCUGGUAGCAGACACCUACUAAACCAAAAGGCAUCAAAAUCUGAUUCAGAACAACAGACCUAGAAAGCUCAUUACUUGAGAAAAAGUGGGAUUCUAACCAGUCUACAAAACUGUUAUGAGAAUUGAGAUCAAAACUACAUAACACUACCCAUUAGUAAACACAGGUUGAUUUGAUAAUAAACCAGCAAACUACUUGUACAUUUCACUUUGUUGGUCAAAUUCUAGAAGCAGGGGUACUGAACUCCCCUGUUAAAAUUUACCUUUUUUGUUCCCCAAACCUUACACCAAUCACCCACCUACACAAAAAGGCUGCAAAAAAUAAUCUGUGUCAUGCCCAGUCUCUUCUGAAGUCACACUAAAAACGAGUAAUCUAAAAAAUCUGGGGAAUGGGGGAUAAGACAAUAUUUCACGAGUUGGAGACCAGCCUGGCCAACAUGGUGAAACCCCAUCUCUACUAAAAAUACAAAAAUUAGCCAGGCUUGGUGGCACAUGCCUAUAGUCCCAGCUACGUGGGAGGCUGAGGCAGGAGAAUUACUUGAACCCAAGGGGUGGAGGCUGCAGAGAGCCAAGAUCGUGCCACUGCUCUCUAGCCUGGGCAAAAGAGUGAGGCUCUGUCUCAAAAAAAAAAAAAAAAAAAA